AAUAAGUGUAGUUUUGCACUGUUUAUGUUCAACUUUUGACCGAUCGUCUUAUUUAAAUUUUUUUUAUGAUUAGUAUUUUUAUUGUUAUUAGAUGAUAAAACAUGAAUAGUACUUUAUGUGUGACUAAUUUUUUUUUAAAUUUUUAUAAAUUUUUUAAAUAAGACGAAUGGUCAAACGUCGGAUACGGUUCCCCACGACUGCACUUAUU
rfam:Oryza glumipatula chromosome 4, whole genome shotgun sequence.